UUAAUAAAGGAUAUCCUGAUAGGAGCAAUACAUCUGGAAUCAUCGAUAUUGGAAGGGCGUGGAGGAGUCCAGAAUCGUCUAAUUUCGGACUAAACUGCGAUUUUGAUUUACCGCCAUCGGAGGAUGGAAGAUAUAUCAGAUCCUGAUAUCUACUGCGGAAUAGGUGGAUUUAACAUAACGAGUCCUGC